rnacentral:rRNA from 1 species
GAUGAACGCUGGCGGCGUGCCUAAUACAUGCAAGUCGAGCGAACGGACGCGAAGCUUGCUCUUCUGAUGUUAGCGGCGGACGGGUGAGUAACACGUGGACAACCUACCUAUAAGUCUCGGAUAACUUCGGGUAACCGUAGCUAAUACCGGCUACUAUUUUGAACCGCAUGGUUCAAAAGUGAAAGACGGUCUUGCUGUCACUUAUAGAUGGAUCCGCGCUGCAUUAGCUAGUUGGUAAGGUAACGGCUUACCAAGGCAACGAUGCAUAGCCGACCUGAGAGGGUGAUCAGCCACACUGGAACUGAGACACGGUCCAGACUCCUACGGGAGGCAGCAGUGGGGAAUCUUGCGCAAUGGGCGCAAGCCUGACGGAGCAACGCCGCGUGAGUGAUGAAGGUCUUCGGAUCGUAAAACUAUGUUAUUAGGAAAGAACAGCUGUGUAAGUAACUAUGCACAUCAUGACGGUACCUUAACAAAAAGCCACGGCUAACUACGUG